rfam:Oryza barthii chromosome 8, whole genome shotgun sequence.
AAAAAAAUAGACUCUGGGUUUCCGUGUUCAACUUUAAUUGUCCGUCUUAUAUGAAAUUUUUUUAUAAUUCGUAUUUUUAUUGUUGUUAGAUGAUAACAUGAUUAAUAUUUUAUGCGUGACUUGUCUUUUUAAUUUUUUUUAUAAUUUUUUCAAAUAAGACGGACGGUCAAAUAUUAGGCACGGAAACUAGUGCUUGUCAUUUUU